rfam:Mycobacterium brisbanense DNA, contig: contig35, strain: JCM15654.
GGUCAUGAGCGCCAGCGAUAAGCCCCGGCUUGCUGGCCGGCAACCCUCCAACCGCGGUGGGGUGCCCCGGGUGAUGACCAGGUUGAGUAGCCGUCAGCGGCUGCAAGGCAAGCGCGGGUC